UUGAGUUUUGAAGUUCUUGCUGUAAAAGGAGGGGGGGUUUCAAUAAGUUUGGGGCCAACAAAGGAGCCCAAAUAAGCAUUGUUGUAGUUUCCAGUCAAUAACUUGUGUUUAAGAGUAUAAAUCUCUCUGAAAUUAUACCACAGGUUUCCAUACUACAAAGGGAUGGUUAUGGGGAUUAUGACUCAAAUCAUUUAGCAAAUAGGGGC
rnacentral:lncRNA from 1 species